rnacentral:rRNA from 1 species
UACGUAGGGUGCGAGCGUUAAUCGGAAUUACUGGGCGUAAAGCGUGCGCAGGCGGCGCACUAAGACAGGUGUGAAAUCCCCGGGCUUAACCUGGGAAUGGCGCUUGUGACUGGUGUGCUCGAGUGCGGCAGAGGGGGGUGGAAUUCCACGUGUAGCAGUGAAAUGCGUAGAGAUGUGGAGGAACACCGAUGGCGAAGGCAGCCCCCUGGGUCGACACUGACGCUCAUGCACGAAAGCGUGGGGAGCAAACAGG